rnacentral:snRNA from 1 species
AUGCUCACUUCUGAGCACAUAGACUAAAACUACAGAGAUCAGUAUGGCCCCUGCACAAGGAUGACAGGCAAAUUUGUGAAGUGCUCCAUAUUUAA